UACGAGUGCUCCAAGCGUUAUCCGGAAUUAUUGGGCGUAAAGGGUGUGUAGGUUGUUGUGUUAGUCUUCUGUUAAAUUCUUCGGCUUAACCGGGGGCAUGCAGGGGAAACGGCACAACUAGAGGAUGCGAGAGGUGAAUGGAACUCAUGGAGUAGGGGUGAAAUCCGUUGAUAUCAUGGGGAACACCAAAAGCGAAGGCAAUUCACUGGCGCACUCCUGACACUGAAACACGAAAGCGUAGGUAGCGAAUGGG
rnacentral:rRNA from 1 species